rnacentral:lncRNA from 1 species
UCAGAAAUCUGCCUGCCUCUGCUUCCCGAGUGCUGGGAUUAAAGGCAUGUGGCACCACGCCUGGCUCCUACUCUUUAUUCUUUUGACACAGCCAUUUUAUUUUCUUCAUUGUUUCCUGAGUCCCAUGUUUUAACCCACUCAUUCACUCCUUCAUUCAUUCAGGAGUAAAAGCAUGGGCAAACUAAUGUGCCUCUGCAGUGUCGUUUCCUGCAGGCUUGUACGCAUCUACACUCCAGAAGUUCAGAGGACUUCUCAUUCAUUCCAUCGUUCUUAUCAGUAUUUGGUGUUGGAUUUUUUUUUACUACACUUUCAAAUCAUUUUUUAUGAUUGUUUUCCUUCAUACCGUAAUGUUUCUUCCUCCUUUAAUGCCCUCCUAUGACUUACCAAUGUAACAAAGGUAAAUCUCUUGGAAAGGAGCAUCAGGACCAUUUAUGAAACAUACCUUGUUUGCUCCUGGGAGUUCAUUUGCUCAUUCAGUCAACAAACAGUAACAAAUUAGGUACUUGGCAUAAAGAGAUGAACGGGCUAUGCUCCUUACUGUCUGGGAACUUGUGGUAUUGAAGAGAAGAGUGACAUUUAGAACAAUUAAAAGAGAAUAAUCGCUGCACUGGGGAUUUAUUGGUGGUAGAAAAGGAAAUUACAGAAAAAGGGGUGUUAAGCCUAUGCAGAAGAUUUCUUUUAGAGAGGAAUAUUCCAAGAGGAUUCAAGAUAGGUGCGUACAUUUCAGGAUAAGUGGAGACAUUAUUGUCCAAUGCAUGUGAAGAAGGUGAAAAUGGUAAGGUUCGGGGAGCCUAUCUAACCUACUUGGAAAAGCAAAUAAGCCCAGAGAAGAAAGGUUUGAACUGAAGGCUUCUCUCCAAAGCAGACACACACACACACACACGAGGAAGGCUAGCCCUGAUU